GGGGUUGACAUGGUUUUGACAGCAUGAGGGGUGGUAUGUAAGCAUGCAGCGUGUGGUGGCGCGUCGCUUGAACAGUGCCACAAAACAAUAACUGGCGAAUAUAAUUACGCUCUCGCUGCCUGAGUGAAUAAAGUAACUCCGGCUUAAUUCCGGAACCAGGUUCCGGAACGGGACGUCUCCCGGGCGGUCAGGCCCCGUUCCAACCCGAUCAGGAGACGCACGGAAUUCAGGGCUGGUCAGAAGAUUGUUCCGGUCGGACGACGAGAAAAUCAGGAACUAAGGAUUUGUUAGCUUGUUCUGCAGCUGUCAGAUCACGAAAAACAAGCAGGACUAAGCAUGUAGAAAGCAUAUGGUCUCCAUGUUUGGACGCGGGUUCGACUCCCGCCAACUCCACAA
rnacentral:tmRNA from 1 species